rnacentral:rRNA from 1 species
GCUUAGGCGUGUGACUGCGUACCUUUUGUAUAAUGGGUCAGCGACUUAUAUUCUGUAGCAAGGUUAACCGAAUAGGGGAGCCGAAGGGAAACCGAGUCUUAACUGGGCGUUAAGUUGCAGGGUAUAGACCCGAAACCCGGUGAUCUAGCCAUGGGCAGGUUGAAGGUUGGGUAACACUAACUGGAGGACCGAACCGACUAAUGUUGAAAAAUUAGCGGAUGACUUGUGGCUGGGGGUGAAAGGCCAAUCAAACCGGGAGAUAGCUGGUUCUCCCCGAAAGCUAUUUAGGUAGCGCCUCGUGAAUUCAUCUCCGGGGGUAGAGCACUGUUUCGGCAAGGGGGUCAUCCCGACUUACCAACCCGAUGCAAACUGCGAAUACCGGAGAAUGUUAUCACGGGAGACACACGGCGGGUGCUAACGUCCGUCGUGAAGAGGGAAACAACCCAGACCGCCAGCUAAGGUCCCAAAGUCAUGGUUAAGUGGGAAACGAUGUGGGAAGGCCCAGACAGCCAGGAUGUUGGCUUAGAAGCAGCCAUCAUUUAAAGAAAGCGUAAUAGCUCACUGGUCGAGUCGGCCUGCGCGGAAGAUGUAACGGGGCUAAACCAUGCACCGAAGCUGCGGCAGCGACGCUUAUGCGUUGUUGGGUAGGGGAGCGUUCUGUAAGCCUGUGAAGGUGUGCUGUGAGGCAUGCUGGAGGUAUCAGAAGUGCGAAUGCUGACAUAAGUAACGAUAAAGCGGGUGAAAAGCCCGCUCGCCGGAAGACCAAGGGUUCCUGUCCAACGUUAAUCGGGGCAGGGUGAGUCGACCCCUAAGGCGAGGCCGAAAGGCGUAGUCGAUGGGAAACAGGUUAAUAUUCCUGUACUUGGUGUUACUGCGAAGGG